GUGCUUAACACAUGCAAGUCGAACGAGUGUAGCAAUACAUUCGUGGCGAACGGGUGCGUAACACGCGGAUAACCUUCCUUCAGGUGGGGAAUAACCCAGUGAAAAUUGGGCUAAUACCGCAUAACAUUACGAGGGCACAUGCUCUUGUAUUCAAAGGCGCAAGUCGCCGGAAGAGGGAUCCGCGGCCGAUUAGCUUGUUGGCGAGGUAAUGGCUCACCAAGGCAAUGAUCGGUAGCCGGACUGAGAGGUUGGCCGGCCACACUGGAACUGAGACACGGUCCAG
rnacentral:rRNA from 1 species